AUUGAACGCUGGCGGCAGGCCUAACACAUGCAAGUCGAACGAGUGGCGGACGGGUGAGUAAUGUCUGGGAAACUGCCCGAUGGAGGGGGAUAACUACUGGAAACGGUAGCUAAUACCGCAUACCAUCGGAUGUGCCCAGAUGGGAUUAGCUAGUAGGUGGGGUAACGGCUCCACAAGGCGACGAUCCCUAGCUGGUCUGAGAGGAUGACCAGCCACACUGGAAUGGAGACACGGUCCAAACUCCUACGGGAGGCAGCAGUGGGGAAUAUUGCACAAUGGGCGCAAACCUGAUGCAGCCAUGCCUCGUGUAUGAAGAAGGCCUUCGGGUUGUAAAGUACUUUCAGCGAGGAGGCGUUACUCGCAGAAGAAGCACCGGCUAGCUCCGUGCCAGCAGCCGCGGUAAUUC
rnacentral:rRNA from 1 species